AAAGACUUGAGAACAGAAAUAGCAACUGUUAACUGAAGGGUAGAAUUGCUUAACUCUGUAUUUUCUGAAAGUCAGUGGAAUAAUACUGCAGUGAAAGAGCUCAGAAGGAGUAAGAGGAGGUAUGUAAGAACCAUGCAGAGAAGGACCUUCUGUAUCUGAAAUCUUUACUACGUAGAUGACAGUAGGUACUUAUGCAGAAAGACAAAACAAGGACUCAAGAUCCAGAAAACUAUGACCUGGGGAAAGAAAUCUCUCUGAUGUACUCCAAACUCCUACUGAACCUAAGAUAUUUUGAAACAAAAGCUAUUUGGGGGAUACUUUUCUUGAGGCUUUCACAAUAUUAUGGUGUCUGGAAGUUUAAAGUUGAACUGAUCUUCAGAUCUGCAUUUCUGCCCUGCUGAUGAUCCUCAUUCCUUGAACUGACAAACAGACCAGCAGGACCCACAAUCACUGGAAGCAAGCAGUGCCAUGGAUAUUGUUUAGAAACAACAGUCAGACACUCAGGGAAAACCUUUGCUUCGA